GUAGGGAAUAUUGGACAAUGGGCGAAAGCCUGAUCCAGCAAUGCCGCGUGAGUGAUGAAGGCCUUGGGGUUGUAAAGCUCUUUUACCAGGGAUGAUAAUGACAGUACCUGGAGAAUAAGCUCCGGCUAACUCCGUGCCAGCAGCCGCGGUAAUACGGAGGGAGCUAGCGUUGUUCGGAAUUACUGGGCGUAAAGCGCGCGUAGGCGGCGAUUUAAGUCAGAGGUGAAAGCCCGGGGCUCAACCCCGGAAUAGCCUUUGAGACUGGAUUGCUAGAAUCCUGGAGAGGUGAGUGGAAUUCCGAGUGUAGAGGUGAAAUUCGUAGAUAUUCGGAAGAACACCAGUGGCGAAGGCGACUCACUGGCCCAAUACUGACGCUGAGGCGCGAAAGCGUGGGGAGCAAACAGGAUUAGAUACCCCAGUAGUCC
rnacentral:rRNA from 1 species